rnacentral:tRNA from 1 species
AAGAGGGUUGCAAGGUGGAUUGCGGUUGGUUUGAAGUCAAAAGGUGGGGGUUCGAUUCCCCCCUCUCUUA